rnacentral:tRNA from 1 species
GGCGCGGUGGAGCAGCCCGGUUAGCUUGCCAGGCUCAUACCCUGGAGGUCGUCGGUUCAAAUCCGACCCGCGCUUCCA